UACGAAGGUCCCAAGCGUUGUUCGGAUUUACUGGGCGUAAAGCGUCUGUAGGCUGCAUGGUAAGUCAGAUGUGAAAUCUCAGGGCUCAACCCUGAAACUGCAUCCGAUACUGCCGUGCUAGAGGGUCGGAGGGGAGUCUGGAAUUCUCGGUGUAGCAGUGAAAUGCGUAGAUAUCGAGAGGAACACUAGUGGCGAAGGCGAGUCUCUGGACAAUUCCUGACGCUGAGGCACGAAAGCUGGGGGAGCAAACAGG
rnacentral:rRNA from 1 species